AUGGUUGCCACUGCCAUUUCUGCCCGUCCGUCCCAGCGAGCGUCGAGAAGCAGCGCAGCGAAGCGAGGCAAAGACACCAGUGAGGUUACUACAACGAUGGCGAGCAGGCGAGGGGAGGAGGUCUACGGGGAUGGGAUGGAGGAGGAGUACAUCGACAUGGACCUGAGCCCCCCGGCGGCGGGGAGGGAGUUCGAGUUCCACUUCCACAUGUCCGCGCCGCUGGACAGGUCGGGGCAGCCGCCGCUGGCGUCCCCGGCCGACGAGCUCUUCUACAAGGGCAAGCUGCUCCCGCUGCACAUGCCGCCGCGUGUCCAGAUGGUCGAGGAGCUCCUCCUCGACGGCGCCGUCCGGGGCAGGGCCGGCCCGCGGCUCGGCGGCCUCGCCGUCAGCACCGCCCCCGCCACGCCCUGCGAGCGCUCCCGCGGCGUGUCGCCGGCCAACUCGUGCUUCGUCAGCGGGGAGCUCAACGUGGAGGAGUUCUUCCGGGAGUACGCGGCCGGCAUGGCUCUCGCCGACGACGACGACGACGCCGCAUCGGCGGCCGGCGGCGAGAAGAAGCCCUGGUCCCGGAGGCUCCGGUUCGUCCGGCAGCUCAACCUCGGCCGCCAGCUCAAGGCCUCCAAGGCCUACCUCAAGACCAUGUUCGCCGGGAAGCAAGCGGGAGCCGGCGGCGACGACAAGCACGGGUUGGGCGGAAAGGACCUCUCCGGCCAUGGCCACCACCCCCGGGCGUGGAGGAAGAACCCGUUCGGACACAUGAGAAGCAACAGGUGCAUCACCGAGCAGAGCAGCGGCGGCGGCGGCCGCGCCGGGCACCGGAGGUCCUUCUCCAGCGUCGUCGUCCGGUACUCGGCGUCCAACAAGACGUCCCCCGCGCCGGCGCCUCCAGCGUCGUCCUCGUCCUGCUCCUCGACAUCCUCCUCGUCCAAGUCCUCCACCUCGUCGUCGGUCCGGUGCUCGAGCGACUCCGACGGCGGCGCGGGGGCGGGGGCGCCGGCGCUGAGGAGGAGCAGCAGCGCGAGCUCGGAGGCCGAGAACCCCAUCCAGGGGCUCAUCGCCUACUGCAAGAAGUCCCAGCAGCUGGCGUCGGUGCGGAAGAGCGCCAGCGACGCCGGGUUCCGGUUCCUGUCGUCGUCGGCGGCCUCCAAGGUCGCCGCCGAGUCCGAGGGCCUGGACGAGCUCAUCGAGAUCUGCAGCGGAUGA
rnacentral:rRNA from 1 species